AUGCACUAAAGCUUUGUCCUUACGGAAAAGCGCAUUUAUUAGAACAAAACCACGCGGCUUCGGCUGCCUUUUGUUGACUCAGAAUAACUAAGCUGACCGCAUGGCCUCAGUGCCGGCGGCGUGUCUUUCAAGCGUCCACUUUAUCAACUUGACGGGAGCAUAAUCGACUCCCGUGGUUGUGACGGAUAACGGAGGAUCAGGGUUCGACUCCGGAGAAGGGGCCUGAGAAAUGGCCACUACGUCUAAGGAUGGCAGCAGGCGCGCAAAUUACCCACUCUCGGCUCGAGGAGGUAGUGACGAGAAAUAACGAGACCGUUCUCUUUGAGGCCGGUCAUCGGAAUGGGUACAAUUUAAACCCUUUAACGAGUAUCAAGGAGAGGGCAAGUCUGGUGCCAGCAGCCGCGGUAAUUCCAGCUUCUCCUAAUGCAUAGAAUUAUUGCUGCGGUUAAAAAGCUCGUAGUUGGAUUCGUAUCGAUACUCUGGAACCCUUCGGGUGUUUCUGGAUGUUAUCGAUUUUAUCGUAAUGUUCGGUUUUGAGUCCUUAACAGGAUUCUUAACAGGCAUUGCAAGUUUACUUUGAACAAAUCAGAGUGCUUCAAACAGGCGUAUUCGCUUGAAUGAUCGUGCAUGGAAUAAUAGAAAACGAUUUCGGUUCAGUUUUAUUGGUUUUACGGACUGAGAUAAUGGUUAACAGAGACAAACGGGGGCAUUUGUAUGGCCACGUGAGAGGUGAAAUUCUUGGACCGUGGCCAGACAAACUACAGCGAAAGCAUUUGCCAAGAAUGUCUUCAUUAAUCAAGAACGAAAGUCAGAGGUUCGAAGGCGAUCAGAUACCGCCCUAGUUCUGACCGUAAACGAUGCCAACUAGCGAUCCGCCGAUGGAGUAUUAUAUUGCCUUGGUGGGGAGCUUCCCGGAAACGAAAGUCUUCCGGUUCCGGGGGAAGUAUGGUUGCAAAGCUGAAACUUAAAGGAAUUGACGGAAGGGCACCACCAGGAGUGGAGCCUGCGGCUUAAUUUGACUCAACACGGGAAAACUCACCCGGCCCGGACACUGUGAGGAUUGACAGAUUGAUAGCUUUUUCAUGAUUCAGUGGAUGGUGGUGCAUGGCCGUUCUUAGUUCGUGGAGUGAUUUGUCUGGUUUAUUCCGAUAACGAGCGAGACUCUAACCUACUAAAUAGUUGGUAUUUAUUUAUGAAUAUACAACUUCUUAGAGGGAUUUGCGGUGUUUAGCCGAAAGAAAUUGAGCAAUAACAGGUCUGUGAUGCCCUUAGAUGUCCGGGGCUGCACGCGCGCUACACUGGCAAAAUCAACGUGCUUGUCCUUCCCCGAAAGGGGCGGGUAAACCAUUGAAAAUUUGCCGUGAUUGGGAUCGGAAAUUGCAAUUAUUUUCCGUGAACGAGGAAUUCCAAGUAAGUGCGAGUCAUCAGCUCGCGUUGAUUACGUCCCUGCCCUUUGUACACACCGCCCGUCGCUGCCCGGGACUGAGCCAUUUCGAGAAAUUUGGGGACCGUUGAUUAAACAUUUAUUUGUUUUUUUAGUGGAAACCAAUUUAAUCGCAGUGGCUUGAACCGGGC
rnacentral:rRNA from 1 species